UGGGGAAUUGUUCACAAUGGGCGCAAGCCUGAUGACGCAACGCCGCGUGGGGGAUGAAGGUCUUCGGAUUGUAAACCCCUGUCGAAUGGGACGAAAGACUCGCGAGUUAAUACUUCGCGGGAGUGACGGUACCGUUAAAGGAAGCCACGGCUAACUCUGUGCCAGCAGCCGCGGUAAUACAGAGGUGGCAAGCGUUGUUCGGAAUUACUGGGCGUAAAGGGCUCGUAGGCGGCCAACUAAGUCAGACGUGAAAUCCCUCGGCUUAACCGGGGAACUGCGUCUGAUACUGGAUGGCUUGAGGUUGGGAGAGGGAUGCGGAAUUCCAGGUGUAGCGGUGAAAUGCGUAGAUAUCUGGAGGAACACCGGUGGCGAAGGCGACAUCCUGGACCAAUUCUGACGCUGAGGAGCGAAAGCCAGGGGAGCAAACGGGAUUAGAUACCCAAGUAGUCCCUGAGCGGGCUGGCAAGGCGCAU
rnacentral:rRNA from 1 species